GGGCGAGACGAUCCGUAGCUGUUUCAAAGGAGAUACGCCACUGACUGAACGGCCCAGAUCCUACGGAGGCAGCAUGGGAUUGACAUGGGGCACUGAUCCAGCAUGCGCGUGGCGGAGAGCUCCGGUUGUAAACCGCUUUACGGGAGAAAAGGCAUCUCUUAUACGGGGUGUCUGACGUACCGGUGGAAUAAGCACGGCUACUACGUGCCAGCAGCCGCGGUAAUACGUAGGGUGCGAGCGUAAUCGGAAUUACUGGGCGUAAAGCGUGCGCAGGCGGUUCGUUAAGUUCGAUGUGAAAGCCCCGGGCUCAACCUGGGAACUGCAUUGGAAACUGGCGAGCUUGAGUGUGUCAGAGGGGGGUGGAAUUCCGCGUGUAGCAGUGAAAUGCGUAGAGAUGUGGAGGAACACCGAUGGCGAAGGCAGCCCCCUGGGAUAACACUGACGCUCAUGCACGAAAGCGUGGGGAGCAAACAGGAUUAGAUACCCUGGUAGUCCACGCCCUAAACGAUGUCAACUGGUUGUUGGAAGGGUAACCUUUUAGUAACGAAGCUAACGCGUGAAGUUGACCGCCUGGGGAGUACGGUCGCAAGAUUAAAACUCAAAGGAAUUGACGGGGACCCGCACAAGCGGUGGAUGAUGUGGUUUAAUUCGAUGCAACGCGAAAAACCUUACCCACCU
rnacentral:rRNA from 1 species